GAUGAACGCUGGCGGCGUGCCUAAUACAUGCAAGUCGAGCGAACAGACGAGGAGCUUGCUCCUCUGACGUUAGCGGCGGACGGGUGAGUAACACGUGGAUAACCUACCUAUAAGACUGGGAUAACUUCGGGAAACCGGAGCUAACACCGGAUAAUAUAUUGAACCGCAUGGUUCAAUAGUGAAAGACGGUUUUGCUGUCACUUAUAGAUGGAUCCGCGCCGCAUUAGCUAGUUGGUAAGGUAACGGCUUACCAAGGCAACGAUGCGUAGCCGACCUGAGAGGGUGAUCGGCCACACUGGAACUGAGAAACGGUCCAGACUCCUACGGGAGGCAGCAGUAGGGAAUCUUCCGCAAUGGGCGAAAGCUUGACGGAGCAACGCCGCGUGAGUGAUGAAGGUCUUCGGAUCGUAAAACUCUGUUAUUAGGGAAGAACAAAUGUGUAAGUAACUAUGCACGUCUUGACGGUACCUAAUCAGAAAGCCACGGCUAACUACGUG
rnacentral:rRNA from 1 species